UACGUAGGGUGCGAGCGUUGUCCGGAAUUACUGGGCGUAAAGAGCUCGUAGGUGGUUUGUCGCGUUGUCCGUGAAAACUCACAACUCAAUUGUGGGCGUGCGGGCGAUACGGGCAGACUGGAGUACUGCAGGGGAGACUGGAAUUCCUGGUGUAGCGGUGAAAUGCGCAGAUAUCAGGAAGAACACCCGUGGCGAAGGCGGCUCUCUGGUACGUGACUGACGCUGAGACGCGAAAGCGUGGGGAGCGAACAGG
rnacentral:rRNA from 1 species